GCCUAUUUUAAUUGUAUUCUCCGAAGCUAAGCAGGGUCAUGCCUGGUUAGGACUUGGAUGGGAGACCACCUAAGAAGACCGGGUGCCGUAGGCU
rnacentral:rRNA from 1 species